UAAUUGAAGAGUUUGAUCAUGGCUCAGAUUGAACGCUGGCGGCAGGCCUAACACAUGCAAGUCGAGCGGCAGCGAUAACAUUGAACCUUCGGGGGAUUUGUUGGGCGGCGAGCGGCGGACGGGUGAGUAAUGCCUGGGAAAUUGCCCUGAUGUGGGGGAUAACCAUUGGAAACGAUGGCUAAUACCGCAUGAUAGCUUCGGCUCAAAGAGGGGGACCUUCGGGCCUCUCGCGUCAGGAUAUGCCCAGGUGGGAUUAGCUAGUUGGUGAGGUAAGGGCUCACCAAGGCGACGAUCCCUAGCUGGUCUGAGAGGAUGAUCAGCCACACUGGAACUGAGACACGGUCCAGACUCCUACGGGAGGCAGCAGUGGGGAAUAUUGCACAAUGGGCGCAAGCCUGAUGCAGCCAUGCCGCGUGUAUGAAGAAGGCCUUCGGGUUGUAAAGUACUUUCAGCAGUGAGGAAG
rnacentral:rRNA from 1 species